rnacentral:rRNA from 1 species
UACGGAGGGCGCAAGCGUUGUUCGGAAUCAUUGGGCGUAAAGCGCGUGUAGGCGGUCUGGUCAGUCGGGUGUGAAAUACCGGAGCUCAACUCCGGAACUGCAUUCGAUACUGCCAGGCUAGAGUCCCGGAGAGGGUGGUGGAAUUCCCGGUGUAGAGGUGAAAUUCGUAGAUAUCGGGAGGAACACCAGCGGCGAAGGCGGCCACCUGGACGGUGACUGACGCUGAGACGCGAAAGCGUGGGGAGCAAACAGGAUUAGAUACCCUGGUAGUCCACGCCGUAAACGUUGGGUGCUAGGCGUUGGGGGUAUUGACCCCCCCGGUGCCGCAGCUAACGCAUUAAGCACCCCGCCUGGGGAGUACGGUCGCAAGGCUAAA